CACGCACGCUGGCGGCAUGCCUAACACAUGCAAGUCGAACGAGACCUUCGGGUCUAGUGGCGCACGGGUGCGUAACGCGUGGGAACCUGCCCUUAGGUUCGGAAUAACUCCCCGAAAGGGGUGCUAAUACCGGAUAAUGUCUUCGGACCAAAGAUUUAUCGCCUUUGGAUGGGCCCGCGUUGGAUUAGCUAGUUGGUAGGGUAAAAGCCUACCAAGGCGACGAUCCAUAGCUGGUCUGAGAGGAUGAUCAGCCACACUGGGACUGAGACACGGCCCAGACUCCUACGGGAGGCAGCAGUGGGGAAUAUUGGACAAUGGGCGAAAGCCUGAUCCAGCAAUGCCGCGUGAGUGAUGAAGGCCUUAGGGUUGUAAAGCUCUUUUACCCGGGAUGAUAAUGACAGUACCGGGAGAAUAAGCCCCGGCUAACUCCGUG
rnacentral:rRNA from 1 species